ACUGCCGCCGCAACGAGAGCACCGUCAACCACAGCAGCAGCUCAUGGCGCCGCCGCUCCCGGGGCCGGUGGUGCCCGGGGGUCGCCGGAGGCGGAGCCGAACGCCCGCGCGCAAGGCUAUGUGCCGCGACGGCCGGUGAGCGCGCUGCCCGUAUCUUGCUGCCCGGUGGGGGCGGCACGGCUCGGCGUGGAGAGCCCUUUGCAAUGGUGAUGCCGGAGCGGAAGGAUUAUUCGAGAUUGAUGCGUGGGCAUUGGCUGGCGUCGCCGCGCGCAUAAUAAAUGGUGUGUGAUUGAUUCCUAAACUAUUGCUGUCAGUUUUUUUAGUUCAUUUGGAUCAUACAGCUUGCAUGAUACUGAAUAGUUGGCGGCUCCAGUUUAAUUGUUUUAUUUGUCCCUGCUCCAUAAAUCUAGUCUAGGUAGUAAUAGUGAAAAAGGAAUUAGAAUUUCAUUUCCCACGUCUUGGUAGUCUUGACAGCUACUACGACAUGUUUGUCUACUUUGUUAGACUUAGACGCACUCAUCUGUCGAAUAAUGUAAUGGUAUACACUGAAUAUUUAGUGGAAAUCGAUGCAUCUCAUACAUAUAGAUC
rnacentral:sRNA from 1 species